rnacentral:rRNA from 1 species
CCUACGGGUGGCAGCAGUGGGGAAUAUUGGACAAUGGGCGAAAGCCUGAUCCAGCCAUGCCGCGUGUGUGAAGAAGGCCUUCGGGUUGUAAAGCACUUUCAGUGGGGAAGAAAGCCUUGGGGCUAAUACCCUCGAGGAAGGACAUCACCCACAGAAGAAGCACCGGCUAACUCCGUGCCAGCAGCCGCGGUAAUACGGAGGGUGCGAGCGUUAAUCGGAAUUACUGGGCGUAAAGCGCGCGUAGGCGGUCUGAUAAGCCGGUUGUGAAAGCCCCGGGCUCAACCUGGGAACGGCAUCCGGAACUGUCAGGCUAGAGUGCAGGAGAGGAAGGUAGAAUUCCCGGUGUAGCGGUGAAAUGCGUAGAGAUCGGGAGGAAUACCAGUGGCGAAGGCGGCCUUCUGGACUGACACUGACGCUGUGGUGCGAAAGCGUGGGUAGCAAACAGGAUUAGAUACCCCGGUAGUC